AUGAAUAACGAAGUGGAAGCUAGCCUGAAUAAAGAUCAAAUCUUUUGCUUGGUUGAGGUAUUGGGCCACAGCAGCUGAUCUGAACUCUGACUAGGUAUUGGGCCACAACAGCUGAUCUGAACUCUGAAGUUGCUAGAGCAUCAACAACACCAAAACUGAAGUUGGGAGGUUGAGCUCUUUAUGAAGAUUCCGUUGAUUGUUGUCGGAGAUUCAAGGCAAAUAACUUUCUUUUAGA